CACAUGCAGUCGAACGGUGAAGCACGAAGCUUGCUCUGUGGAUCAGUGGCGAACGGGUGAGUAACACGUGAGCAAUCUGCCCCUGACUCUGGGAUAAGCGCUGGAAACGGCGUCUAAUACCGGAUACGAGCUGCGACCGCAUGGUCAGUAGCUGGAAAGAAUUUCGGUCAGGGAUGAGCUCGCGGCCUAUCAGCUUGUUGGUGAGGUAAUGGCUCACCAAGGCGUCGACGGGUAGCCGGCCUGAGAGGGUGACCGGCCACACUGGGACUGAGACACGGCCCAGACUCCUACGGGAGGCAGCAGUGGGGAAUAUUGCACAAUGGGCGAAAGCCUGAUGCAGCAACGCCGCGUGAGGGAUGACGGCCUUCGGGUUGUAAACCUCUUUUAGCAGGGAAGAAGCGAAAGUGACGGUACCUGCAGAAAAAGCGCCGGCUAACUACGUGCCAGCAGCCGCGGUAAUACGUAGGGCGCAAGCGUUAUCCGGAAUUAUUGGGCGUAAAGAGCUCGUAGGCGGUCUGUCGCGUCUGCUGUGAAAACCCGAGGCUCAACCUCGGGCCUGCAGUGGGUACGGGCAGACUAGAGUGCGGUAGGGGAGAUUGGAAUUCCUGGUGUAGCGGUGGAAUGCGCAGAUAUCAGGAGGAACACCGAUGGCGAAGGCAGAUCUCUGGGCCGUAACUGACCCCAUGCGAAAGGGUGGGGAGCAAACAGGCUUAGAUACCCUGGUAGUCCACCCCGUAAACGUUGGGAACUAGUUGUGGGGUCCAUUCCACGGAUUCCGUGACGCAGCUAACGCAUUAAGUUCCCCGCCUGGGGAGUACGGCCGCAAGGCUAAAACUCAAAGGAAUUGACGGGGACCCGCACAAGCGGCGGAGCAUGCGGAUUAAUUCGAUGCAACGCGAAGAACCUUACCAAGGCUUGACAUAUAGAGGAAACGUCUGGAAACAGUCGCCCCGCAAGGUCUCUAUACAGGUGGUGCAUGGUUGUCGUCAGCUCGUGUCGUGAGAUGUUGGGUUAAGUCCCGCAACGAGCGCAACCCUCGUUCUAUGUUGCCAGCACGUAAUGGUGGGAACUCAUGGGAUACUGCCGGGGUCAACUCGGAGGAAGGUGGGGAUGACGUCAAAUCAUCAUGCCCCUUAUGUCUUGGGCUUCACGCAUGCUACAAUGGCCGGUACAAAGGGCUGCAAUACCGUGAGGUGGAGCGAAUCCCAAAAAGCCGGUCCCAGUUCGGAUUGAGGUCUGCAACUCGACCUCAUGAAGUCGGAGUCGCUAGUAAUCGCAGAUCAGCAACGCUGCGGUGAAUACGUUCCCGGGUCUUGUACACACCGCCCGUCAAGUCAUGAAAGUCGGUAACACCUGAAGCCGGUGGCCCAACCUGCUUAGUGGAGUGAGC
rnacentral:rRNA from 1 species